rnacentral:rRNA from 1 species
CUUGGGAACUUGCCUUUGCGAGGGGGAUAACAGUUGGAAACGACUGCUAAUACCGCAUAAUGUCUUCGGACCAAACGGGGCUUCGGCUCCGGCGCAAAGAGAGGCCCAAGUGAGAUUAGCUAGUUGGUAAGGUAAAGGCUUACCAAGGCGACGAUCUCUAGCUGUUCUGAGAGGAAGAUCAGCCACACUGGGACUGAGACACGGCCCAGACUCCUACGGGAGGCAGCAGUGGGGAAUAUUGCACAAUGGGGGAAACCCUGAUGCAGCCAUGCCGCGUGUGUGAAGAAGGCCUUCGGGUUGUAAAGCACUUUCAGUUGUGAGGAAAAGUUAGUAGUUAAUACCUGCUAGCCGUGACGUUAACAACAGAAGAAGCACCGGCUAACUCCGUGCCAGCAGCCGCGGUAAUACGGAGGGUGCGAGCGUUAAUCGGAAUUACUGGGCGUAAAGCGCACGCAGGCGGUUUGUUAAGCUAGAUGUGAAAGCCCCGGGCUCAACCUGGGAUGGUCAUUUAGAACUGGCAGACUAGAGUCUUGGAGAGGGGAGUGGAAUUCCAGGUGUAGCGGUGAAAUGCGUAGAUAUCUGGAGGAACAUCAGUGGCGAAGGCGACUCCCUGGCCAAAGACUGACGCUCAUGUGCGAAAGUGUGGGUAGCGAACAGGA